GUCCCUGUAGCGCAAUAAACAGCGCGUUGGACUUUUAGUCGAAAGGUCGUGGAUUUGAACCCCAUUUGGGAUG